CCUUCGAUAGCUCAGCUGGUAGAGUGAAGGACUGUAGAUCCGACGUGUGUGGCUAUCCUUAGGUCGCUGGUUCGAUUCCGGCUCGAAGGA
rnacentral:tRNA from 1 species